UGGGGAAUAUUGGACAAUGGGCGCAAGCCUGAUCCAGCAAUACCGCGUGUGUGAAGAAGGCCUGCGGGUUGUAAAGCACUUUCAAUGGUGAAGAAAAAGCCGAUUCUAAUAGGAUUGGAAAUUGACAUUAGCCAUACAAGAAGCACCGGCUAACUCCGUGCCAGCAGCCGCGGUAAUACGGAGGGUGCAAGCGUUAAUCGGAAUUACUGGGCGUAAAGGGUACGUAGGCGGACAGCUAAGUCGAAUGUGAAAGCCCCGGGCUUAACCUGGGAACUGCAUGCGAUACUGGCUGACUAGAAUCUGUCAGAGGUUGGUGGAAUUUCCGGUGUAGCGGUGAAAUGCGUAGAGAUCGGAAGGAACAUCAGUGGCGAAGGCGACCAACUGGGAUAAGAUUGACGCUGAAGUACGAAAGCGUGGGGAGCAAACAGG
rnacentral:rRNA from 1 species